AACCUGCCUUUGAGAAGGGGAUAACUGUCCGAAAGGAUAGCUAAUACCCUAUAUUGCCUUUUGUCACUAAGGCAAAAGGUGAAAGCGAGGCUGUCAAAGGCUUCGGCUCAAAGAGGGGUUCGCGUCCUAUCAGGUAGUUGGUGGGGUAAUGGCCUACCAAGCCAAUGACGGGUAGCUGGUCUUAGAGGAUGAUCAGCCACAGUGGGACUGAGACACGGCCCGCACCCCUACGGGGGGCAGCAGUGGGGAAUCGUGGGCAAUGGGCGCAAGCCUGACCCCGCAAUGCCGCGUGAGGGAAGAAGCCCUUCGGGGUGUAAACCUCUGUCAGAUGGGAAGAUGGGACUAGGGGCUAAUACCUCCUGGUCUUGUCGUACCAUCAGAGGAAGGGACGGCUA
rnacentral:rRNA from 1 species